CGGCCUCUGUGUCGUUUCACUAGCUGUAAUGUAUGUAUAUGUUAUUUGGCCUGACCUGAAUUAGUUUAAAAUGCUAAAACAGCUGUGAUUUUAAUUUAGUAAUGAGUUACUAUGGUGUAGGUGUGGAAGAAAGGCUUUAGCGCUUCACUGAAACAUGAGCCUCUGACGGACGGAUCGCCUCCAUGAACCAACCAGAUUAACCAGGCCUAUCGUGGUUCCCUAACCACCAGGACUGUGUCAUGCUCUGAGCUGAGUAAAGACUUUCUAAGGAAGCCUUCUUUAGUACUAGUGAUUUCAUAGUGACUCACCCAUGACAAAGUGCACGGAAAUGAGCUGCUUAUAAAAAAUCAGUCCUGAAUAAAAAUUGUUUUAAAUGGUCCGCAGAGCUAAUAGAUAUUUUCAGAAUUUGAAAACCAAAGGCAUCAUGAGUGUAUUUGUAUUCAGGUUGGCUAAAGGGGACUACAGCAGUAGAGAGCGGGAAAGAGCCCUCUGGAAGAGACAAGCUCGGCAUUCAGCUGAAAUCUGCUUAAUUUCCUCUAUGUGCAUUAUUUAGAGCUCCUGGCAGGUUUGGGACUCCUCAGCUUCCCGGCAGAGCUGCAGAGAGAAGGCGGGUGUCUCCCACUCUUCUUCAAGGCCUUCCGGGACCCGACAGUGCCGGUUUACCAGGUUUUGGCCAGCUUGGAUACUUAACUCAGGCAUAAAACAAGUACUCUGGCCGUGUCUGCCCGUUCCUUUGCUUCUCCCCAGAUCGCUAACCUAGUCUUAGAAGAUGCUCCCGCACUGGCCCCGUUCACCUUCUUUCCUUCUUCAUCAUGGGUCUAAUGGAGGGAUCCAGGUGACCCUCAUUCUCAUAUCAGAAUGGAACUGGGUUUAGUCCUCUCUGCGAAACAGUUUCUGCCAGUUUGCUAACAAACACAAGCCUGGCCUCCCAUGCUUCAAUUCUGUGCAGAACCGUAACGGCAGGACAGCCUGCAGUCUAAGCAGGACAGUCUGCUUCCCUUCCUAGCAGUGAGAGCUCCCAUCAGUCUAAGCGGAGUAACAACACUAACCUGGGUCUCAGGAAGGCAGCCGCUCCUCUGAGCACUCGUUUCUCUUUGCUGUUGGAAUAGUGAAGGGCCUUUGGAAGGUAGAGACAGCAGAUAAGCAUACGUUAGCAUCCUGUUAUCCUAGAUACUAUUAACAUUGGCUAACGCUAGAACACAGCGUCUGAAUGCAGUAGACUGUCCUGGUUCUCCUCUACUGCAGUAUAUUCCCAGGAGCAUGAAGGAUACAGAGGCAUUGUUCCCUCUCCCCUUUUAAAUAUCCGUUGUUUAAAUUCCUAUAAAUGGCCUUGUAAACAAAAGUGUGUAUUUGUAAGCACAUCUUCCUGUACUGUCCCCGCACCCAUGCUCCCAGACCUCAUUCAUGUGCCAGCCUUCUCACUGGGUUUCUGGUGGGCUCAUCAUCUUGCACAGAGCUACAGACUCAGCAAAUAUUCAAAAAUGACAUUAAAAUGGAUGUUUUCAUGUAUCAGAAAUAAAGAAUGCUCUCUGACGUUAAGGCAGUGACAGAGACAUGAGGGUAGUUGUGAAAGUGAUAUUCCAACAGCUGCUGGCUACAUCAGCACAUCAAAAAGAUGACGUAACAAACACCACCCUAAGAAAGGGGGGCUUCUUCAGCCAUGGUAAGCGCUGCAGUUAGUGGACAGUUACGUCUGCCCUGUUUGCAAAAGCCUUAUCUAUGGCAGAAACUUCUUAACCUUUUCUACUCUAGCAGUGAAACAUGAAUCCACUUCUUAAUAUUUGAAAUGUAUCAGUGAGUGGGCAUGUCUGUUUAUUUCAUACCUGGUAAGUGCAUUUUAUGGGGUAUAUUUUAUAAGUAAUAUUGGCACAUUUAGUGGAGUUGAUGUAGCCAGUCAGUUCCAACUUCUCUCACAAAAAGUUCUUCAGCCUCCAGGUCAUCUGGUUUGCAGUAACACUAGUGGGAUUUCCAAACUUGUGAUCUUGGGUGGGGAAUUCAUAGUACGUGAUACUGUGUAGAGUGUGAGUGGUAUAGAAGUUGUUUUUUUAAUCAUUUUAAAGUAUAUACUAUGACACGUGAAAUUUAAAACCUGUCAGAAGCUGAAGAUUUUUUUAUCUACUAUAAGAUCCAGUAUGGUCAAGGUGUGUGGCCAAUUUUAUACUUCUACCAGAGUUCUGCAAAGUUGAGGUGACAUUCACCCCACAGAGACACCCCACACAGGUAGUUACCCCCCCCUCCCAUCUGCUCUCCCCUCCCCUCAACCACCCUUUCAGAGUUUUCCUCAUGUUUCAGAAUUCUCUUGCCGUCCUUCUCAGGCAGGCCUGCAUGCCUGUUAGCUCACUUUGGUGAUGGAGCAUCCUGGACCCUCUCUCCCAGCAUGCAGGAAGGAAACCCAGAAGUGCACAGUAAAAGAGGGAGGAACUGAAGUCUCUAAAGCUAGUAGCAUUAGACUGAGAAGGUGACCAUGCAGUACAGUAAAUGUAUUUACUACACAGAACACUGAAACUCGUCAUGUGUGUUUAAUGCCUGCUUCUGCUCCCUCCGUGUCUUAAGCUCAUCUUAUCUUUGUGGCGGUAAUAUUUGUCCUUAACACUCAAAAGACUAAAAAGGUACUUUGAUUGACAAGGUCUCUCAAGAACUUACAAAACCAGCUUUGAGGAAAUCUAGACUGUUCCUGAUGACAGUGUUUGGAGUUGUAAUUGUACUUUCUUACUGUAGCGUCAGUCUGUGUAAAUAACCAGUACAGUGGCCCUUUGGUUUGUUAGUGGUUUUGUUUCUGGUCUCUGUGUGACCCACCAGGACGGGGUUCCAGGUCCACCUUUUUUUUUUUUAAUUUUGCAUUUGUCCAUCAGUAGGCUUGUCAGACAAAAUACAAGAUGCCCAGUUAGAUUUGAAUUUCAGGCAAUUUUCUAGCUCAAGUAUAUUUCAUAUUUGACAUAUCUGUGCAAUUUUUUAAAUGUUCAUUAACUUAUCUGAAAUUCAGAUUUUGACUGAAUCUCCUAGAUUUUUGUUUUCUAUGUAGUUUUUCUAAACCUGGUAGUCCUAACAGUUUGAUCACAAAAGGAGGCUCACAGCAUGUAAAUUCUCUGGUCUUUAUAGCUUUCACCAGGAAUGAAAGACAUUUUUUUCCCCUCGCCUUCUACUUAUUUCUAAAAGAGGGCAUCAAGGAACUUAACCGGCCUACAUGGUGGGUUUCUGUUUAAAACAUCUCUGUGAUUAUAUUUAACCUGUAAUUGUGCUUUGGCUUGAUGUCUACAGUACUUGUAACGGAUUAAUAUUCAAUAAAAUCAUUUUAAAGUAC
rnacentral:lncRNA from 1 species